UACGAAGGGGGCUAGCGUUGUUCGGAAUUACUGGGCGUAAAGGGCGCGUAGGCGGCUUGGCGAGUCGGGUGUGAAAGGCCUGGGCUUAACCCGGGAAAUGCACUCGAUACUGCCGAGCUAGAGUGUGGGAGAGGAUGGCGGAAUUCCCAGUGUAGAGGUGAAAUUCGUAGAUAUUGGGAAGAACACCAGUGGCGAAGGCGGCCAUCUGGACCACAACUGACGCUUAGGCGCGAAAGCGUGGGGAGCAAACAGG
rnacentral:rRNA from 1 species